rnacentral:rRNA from 1 species
GUUUGAUCAUGGCUCAGGAUGAACGCUGGCGGCAUGCCUAAGACAUGCAAGUCGUACGAAGUGGCCCAUUGAUGAUUGAGUGCUUGCACAAGAUUUGAUUUGGAUUCCCACUUAGUGGCGCAAGGGUGAGUAACGCGUAGGUUAUCUGCCUUCGAGUUUGGAAUAACAAUUAGAAAUGAUUGCUAAUGCCGGAUUAUAUUUAAGAUGAUACGUUGUCUUAAAUUAAAAGGAGCCUUUAAAGCUUCGCUUGAAGAUGAGCCUGCGUCGUAUUAGCUAGUUGGUGGGGUAAUGGCCUACCAAGGCAACGAUGCGUAGCCGACCUGAGAGGGUGAUCGGCCACACUGGGACUGAGACACGGCCCAGACUCCUACGGGAGACAGCAGUUAGGAAUAUUCGUCAAUGGGGGAAACCCUGAACGAGCAAUGCCGCGUGAAGGAUGACGGUCCUUUGGAUUGUAAACUUCUGUUGUUAGGGAAGAACAAGCUGUAUAGGAAAUGAUACAGUUCUGACGGUACCUUUCAAGAAAGCUCCGGCUAACUACGUGCCAGCAGCCGCGGUAAUACGUAGGGAGCAAGCGUUAUCCGGAUUUAUUGGGUUUAAAGGGAGCGUAGGCCGUUUGGUAAGCGUGUUGUGAAAUGUCGGGGCUCAAC